CCGCCCCUCGCCCCCGGCGACCCGGUCGCGGGCUGCGGCUGGGAACCUCCGGGAGUUUCCGCGGUAACCGCCCGCGCGGAGCCGUCCGCUCACAUCCGCGCCCGGGGGGCGACGUUAGGGGACGAAAACUUCUCGAUCUGCCCCGAGGAGGGCUGGCUGACUGUCCUCCACGCCGUCUUCCCGCCUGGGAUGUGCUCCCCCGGUGGCGAGGUCCCUCCGUGGAUCUCACAACCUGGUCGCCGAGGCAGCCGGCGAAAUUGGGCAUAAAAUGCCACCUUUGCUGGAAUGUCCCCUCACUCCAGAGGUCCUUUAUUAGUGCCAGGCGCUGAGCCAGGGGCCGUGGAGCAGGUUCUCCGAAGGAGACCUCCAGGGCGUCGCGCGGCCUCCUCUCCAACUCUUGUUUUUCCCCUUUGCACCCCUUUGCACCCCUUUAGCAUUAGUUUUCCUGGGGCCCUGAUAGCGGCCCGUGCACACGUCCGGGUGGAAGGUCAGGUUCUUCGCACUCCCCGUGGUCUGAUAAAUACCAGUGGAGGCUUUGGUGGAAAAGAGGUUUAGUAGCUGUAACUGAUAAAGCUAUUAAUCCCGGAGUCACAGUGUUUCUUUUUAAACUGCAAAAUGAAGAGUACGACCUUAGCUCGUAGAAUUGCUGCGGAUUAAAUAAAAUGAUACACUAAGGCGAUUGGCCUGCAGCGUGAAAUGGUUGUUCAGUAAACGUUAACUGUGCCAUGCCAUCCACAAGCAAAAAUACCAUCUCCCGUAGACUUGCGCUUCCUUUCGGGUUUCUUAUCCCGACAGGAAAGCUGAUGCCUGAUUGCCUGCCAAAUAAUAACCAGGACGUUUUGGGUUCUUGCUCGUCAGUCUAUAGGCAAAGAAAAAGCAGGAAAACCAGACAGAAAACCUGACAGAAUUGCCUGGGCAAGAAUCCACGGAAGAGCUGACAUAGGGUGUCCUGUGACUGAUCUGGCUGAUUGUCCUUAGUUAUCUGCUCAUGACACUCAAACCUGGCUGGCAGUUUAACAGGAACACAAGGCAAGUCUCUCAGAAGAUUUACCUUUAGUAAAAAGAAAGAAAAGGAUAAAAGCCCAGGAAUAACAAAUGUCCUUACCUUCUAAAUCACCAAACAAAAUCUUUCUCAAUAAUUUCUUAUUGGGAACCUCUAUGAUCCCAGAAUUUUAAAGGACACCUUGGAGUGGGUCCUUAAGAGUCUACCCUCCAUGAUGAGAAGGCAAAAAUAACUAUAGCACAAAAUAUUAGGUACCAUGAGCACAGAAGGAAAGAAUGACUAAAUCUCUUUGGAAGCCACAGGAAGCUUUGCAGCGCAGGUGAUAUUUGAGCUGGGUGUUGAAGGAUGAGUAUACACUUAUUUAUAUCCUACUCAUUCCAAAAGGAUUUAAGGUGCCUUGCGGGAUUUGACUAGACAGUAGGGGAGUUGAAUAGCCUUUCAGGCACUGAAAGUGCCAAACAGCAGAGGUGUGAAAGGGCACAGUGUGCUUAGCAAGAAGGAUAUUCUGAGGGCAAACACAUACAGCAUACA